GCAUCGAUUAAGAACGCAGCGAAAUGCGAUACUUGGUGUGAAUUGCAGAAUCCCGUGAACCAUCGAGUCUUUGAACRCAAGUUAGCGCCCGAAGCCAUUAGGCCGAGGGCACGUUUGCCUGGGCGUCAC
rnacentral:rRNA from 1 species